rnacentral:rRNA from 1 species
CAGUAGCCGCGGGAAUACGUAGGGUGCAAGCGUUAAUCGGAAUUACUGGGCGUAAAGCGUGCGCAGGCGGUUAUAUAAGACAGAUGUGAAAUCCCCGGGCUCAACCUGGGAACUGCAUUUGUGACUGUAUAGCUAGAGUACGGCAGAGGGGGAUGGAAUUCCGCGUGUAGCAGUGAAAUGCGUAGAUAUGCGGAGGAACACCGAUGGCGAAGGCAAUCCCCUGGGCCUGUACUGACGCUCAUGCACGAAAGCGUGGGGAGCAAACAGGAUCAGAUACCCCUGUAGUCCCUGUCUCUUAUAC